AACAAACGCUGGCGGCGUGCCUAAUACAUGCAAGUCGAACGGGGAAAGCUUUCGGGUGAGUACUAGUGGCGCACGGGUGAGUAACGCGUGGAUAAUCUGCCUUAGAGUGGGGGAUAACUAGUCGAAAGAUUAGCUAAUACCGCAUAAGACCACAAGAACUGCGGUUCAAGGGGUCAAAGGUUUUUCGCUCUAAGAUGAGUCCGCGUAAGAUUAGCUAGUUGGUAGGGUAACGGCCUACCAAGGCGACGAUCUUUAACUGGUCUGAGAGGAUGAUCAGUCACACUGGAACUGAGACACAGUCCAGACUCCUACGGGAGGCAGCAGUAGGGAAUAUUGCACAAUGGAGGAAACUCUGAUGCAGCGACGCCGCGUGAGUGAUGAAGGCCCUCGGGUCGUAAAGCUCUGUCGCAGGGGAAUAACACAAUGAAGGUACCCUGUAAGAAAGGAUCGGCUAACUUCGUGCCAGCCGCCGCAGUAACAC
rnacentral:rRNA from 1 species